CACAGUCUAUGGUAAAUGUUUGGCUAAGGAUAUUUUAAGACUGUGGAGGACACCUGAUGGCAAAUCUGACUGCUGAUGGGAGGGAAGAGAAGAGCCUGCUUGAGCCCGAGACAAACAAGUUGUGUGUGUGGAGCCUGCUCUGCACUGCUAAGUGUUUCCUGGGUGGCAAAAAACAGUUCUCCAGAAUUAAGAGCAUGGACCUUCACCCAUAUCCCCAGAGGGUAGUACUUUCAUCCCCAGAGGGCAUGACUUUCCUUGUGUUGCUGCAUUAUGUGGCUGGGGGCCUGGAAGGUGGCGAGUGCUGUAGGGACAGGCCAGCUGGUGCAUGAUAACGAGCCAGCGCACCUUCUGCUUGUAUGACUUGGUAUGCCACCACUGUGUCUUAAUACUGCUAAAUACUGCUUUUGUGUGUAAUUGAAGCUUUAGCUGUGAGAUUAACAACACCAGCCCUAGAAUAUCAUUUUAUAUAAUCAGGAUAGCAUAGUAUAAUAUUCCUUCAGCUGGUUUUCAUCCCAUUCAAUUGCCAGUCUCAGGACAAACUCAUUUAUCAGUUCCUAUGCACUUGCUGCCCUGCCCAAAUGUGCAGGAAUUCACUAAGCUUCUCUGCCAUGGCCACAUGAAAUCCUUUACACCUGUGCCAUCAUGUAGUACCACAAAUUCUCUUGCUGAAAAACACAUGAUAUGUUCUUCCUUUAGACAGAAAGGGACAGGAGAAUGCUGCCUUAUUUCUAGGAAUGUUUGUGUUUGAAUCUUUGUUUGCUAGCCAAAUCAAUACAAUCCUCUUUGUUAAGCUAAGUUAACAUUCUCCUUGAGAAAGCGCUAUUGCUUUUUGAGAUGAGUCCUCAGAAAUGCAGCAAAGACUGUGAUUGUGUAGUAACAUUCAGCAUUUUUAUCCACUAUGUCUGCAUUUGCAAUUCCUGAAAUCACUGAAUAUUUACCUGGAUGGGCUAAUCCUGAGAGUAUAGACAAGAUUCACCAGAGGAGAGACUGUCUUUGGUGUCUACUUAUAUAAAAACAUUUUCUUCCUGCCAUCCUUCCCCUCCUCCCCACCAAAACCUACAGCUCUUGAAGCUUUGUGUGUGUUUCAGUGCUGCUCACUUUGUUUUGCCUGCUUCAAAAGGUCAGGAUGUGACUGUGGCUGACUUGCAAAUCCUUUGCAUGUUUUCUGCAAAGAGUGUAGUCAGGCAAUUGGUACUCAGUUUUACUAGCACUGGUCUGCAGGAUUGUUCUCAGCUGGGUCAGAAGCAAUUGGGCCAGUCUUUGUAUUACAGUGGACUGUAGCAGAGAAGACAAAGAGCUUUUAAUUAAUGGCCAUGGGAAAGCUUGAUGUUUGACCAACGUCUAAGCCAUAUCUGAUAUAAACCUUCAAUUUUAAGGUAGUUUUGAGAGGUCCUUUCUGUAGUAAAAUAAAGCAACCUUUUGUCACUGAUUCUUUCUUUGAAAUAGACUUUGGAAGUGCAUAGAUAGAGGUGGAAGGGUUCUGGUUGACAUACAGGGCUCUGCAGAGAAUUUGAACAUUGUGGGUCCAUGAAUAUCAAUAUCAGCAGGACAGCUCUAUCCAAAUCUCUUGGGUUUGAACGCUAUCUUGAUCUAUAGUGUAUUAAUACAACAGCUCUAAGGAAGGAAAACAGUGGUGUUCUAGAGAGGUGAAUUAAGGCAGUGUAAGGGAAGCUAUGUAGCUUGUUAUAUUCUGAUCCAAAAUUAAGGAUACUCUUCAUGACUUUUGUAUCUAGCUAAUUGGCGAUAACCAGCAAGCCAAGAACAACAGCGGUGUCUGCUCACAUAUGGAUGCAUGUGCUCGUCUGUACUUGCAAUUCCUGUAACUGGGGCUGCCAGCCAUUCUGAUGCCUUGCAGCUAAGAAUUUAUGAUACCAUAUGAAAUCUAAUGAAAUUCCUUCAUGACAGCAUGUUAUGGCAUGUGCCUGUGUCACAGAGAUACAAAAAGACAGGACAUUCACCAGGAUGCACAAUUUCAGGAAAUAUUUCAUGAAAAUAUGAUUGUCCUUCAUAGUAUUCUGUAUCUAUUGGCAGAUUGAUAUGGAAUCAGGUGGUAAUAUUAUUGGGUCCUGUGGCAACAGUAAAGAAAAGGAACAGCUACGGGACUUGUCAGUAAUGACUAUGAUGACUUAAAAUAGAAGCUCAGCCCACAUGCAGAAUCUGUGGACACAGAAAUAAAGGAAAAAAAGUUAUUUACCUUUGGAAGUCCUCAGGUGAGCAGGGAUCUCCAGCAAGAAAUGCCUUUACCUCCACUGCCAACCCUUAAGUGAGGUUUGGGAAGAGGUGGCUCCUGGCUCCAUCCCUUCCAGUCACCCAGGUACACUGCAUGCACCUGAGCUCCCCUGGGGUGGCCCUGCCUUCCCACCAGGUGCUCAAUCCCUUGUUCAGGCCAUGACUUAGCAUUUCUGCUAUAUAUGUUAACAAUAUAUAAACAGGAGUUUACAAUAUAUAAACAGUAUAAACAGGAGGAGGUAUGUCUGAUUACAAGGGUGGAUAGUGUUAGGACAAAGGGGAUUGUUUUAAACUAAGACAGGGGAGGUUUAGGUUAGGUAUUAGGAGGAGGUUUUUCACACAGAGGGUAGUGACAUACUGGAGCCUGAGGAGGUUGUAGAUGCCCCAUCCCUGGAGGUAUUCAAGGCUCUGGGCUCUCUGGCUCUGGGUUGCUUGGUCUAGUGGUUGGCAAUCCUGCACAUAGCAUUGGGUUGAAACUAGAUGAUCAUUAUGGUCCUUUUCAACCCAGGCCAUUCUAUGAUUUUAUGAAUAUUCUCUUUGCUAGCUCUCUCUAUGGGAAAUGGAGUAGAGAAUUGGAAAAAUAACUGUAUAAAGAACUUAUGGGUUGAGAUAAAGACAGCACAGCAAAUAAAGCAAAAGCUGUGUGCGCAAGCAGAGCAAAGCCAGGAAUUCAGUUGUACUUUUCCAUUGGAAGGCAGAUGUCCAGCCUCACCCAGGAGAACAGGAACCAUCAUGCAGUGUUUUUUUGGAAUGACAAAUGCUGACAUUUCAAAUGUUCCCCCUCCUCCUUCUUUGCCCCAGCUUUUAUUGUUGAGUACAAUGCCAUGUGGUAUGGGACAUCCCUAUGGCCAGUCUGGGUCAGCUGUCCUGUCUGUGUUCCCUCCCAACUACUUGUGGUCUUCAUCCCCUCUCUGGCAGGGCAGCACAAGCAGCAGAAAAGUCCUUGGAUCUGUACAGCACUGCUCAGCAACAACUAUAACAUCAGUGUGCUGUCACCACUAUUUUGAUCAAAAAUCCAAAAUGUCAUGGCAUGAGCCUCUGCUAAGUAAAUUAACUUUAUCCCUGCCAAGCCAUGACAUGGUUAAUUAGGUGAAGACCAGGCACUAAUAAUUUUGGUUUUAUCUCCUGGAGUGUCAGUUUAUAUUGCUGGAUGUAUUGAGGAUUUCCACAAGUAUAGAUGACUAGUUACAAAUCGAAAUAAGAAACUGAAAAUUUCUACUGCUUUUAAGGACUGAUCCAGGAUGAGUGGAAAAAGCAUCCAUAACUUAAAGAACAUAUUCAACUAAUUUGUAACAAAAAAUAAUGUGAGGAUUCACUCAGCUGUAGAAAAUGGAUUCCAUUAUGUAUUGAUCACCACAUAUUUGGUUCCUGUUACUUUAAUACUAUUUUUAUACCUUUUUAAAAAGAAAAUAGUCCAUUGUUUCAUAACACUAUGUAGAGAAGAUUUAUGUAUGGUUAUAAAGUUGGCUGUGGAAAUUAUAUCACUUGAAAUGUUUUUUUCAGAGGAAAAUCACAUCAGGCUGGCAAACCUGUCUGCACUGGGUAAUGAAGAAUUAGGGCUUGGUUUUUGGGUUUUCUAUUAAACUAAAAUUUAUAUUAUUAUUGCUCCUUAGAUGAUAAUUCUGGGUCACUGCUGAACUAUUCCUUCAGGCAGAACUCCCAAGAGUACUUUAUUUCUUGUAGUAUUAAGCAAGCAGGAGCCAAGUGAAUUUUAAAUCUGUAGAGUGUCAAAAGUGAGAAACUAGAUUAAGUUUCGGAUGCAGAUGCAAGGGAGAAUAGUCACACAUUUUAAAAAUUCAAGAGCAUUACAUUCUCAAAUAUACACAUGAUUUGUCUUAGAGCAGUAGCUAGACAUAUCAAAGGAUCUUUACUAGUUAGACUUGCGAUGUGAUAAAAUGUAGGUGGUAUCAUUCAAGUUAGGUUUAAGAUUUUGAGUGUUGACAGAACACAGGAGUUGAGGACUAGUUUUCUUUGAGAUUUUUACAAGGGUAAGACCCACGUUCUUCUGAGAAAUAGACUUUCUUGUCAGUUUUCAUUCUCUUUUCAUUCUACGUUUUCCCUCUUCAUGGAAGAUUUAAUUUGAUCACAUUAGUGUUCUACUGUUCUCUAAUCAUGAGUAGAGUUACUGGCUGUUUUACAGUUUGGUGAAAUUCAAACAAUUAUAUUCUGUAAAUUGUGCGUGUUAGUAGAAAGCCAAGAGCAAAGCAGCUCAGGGCAAUUAAAAGCAUAACAAACUGUGAAUUUAUACCACUUCUAGCUAGCAAAGCAGAAUUUGCUCUCAGGUUUGUUUCACAGAAAAAAAAAAAAGAGUAAAAUAGCACAUUUGGCUGACGGUUAAAUGAUUUUAGCAGGCUUAGAAAGACAUAGACCCUUCACUUUGUUACUGAAAGCUGGCAGAAAACUGAAGACUAAUUCCAUUUUGAAAUAAAUAUUUUGGAUCACAGUGAAACCAUGCUGCUAAUAUUAGCCAAGCUGGCAAAUUAACAGGAACUCCAUGUUUCAUUGUUUUUACUUUUGUAUUCCACCAAUGGACUUUAAAAUAUUGGAAAUGAGCCAAAAUCAAGGACUAAUUUCCAUUUAGUGGUAUAAUGAAGUAAUGAACAUGCUUUGAUUCAGAAUAAAAGCUUUUUCCCCUCCAAACUAAAAGUACUUCUAUAUCUGUCUGUAGCUUCAAUGUUCACACAAAAAUAGCUGGUAGCUGCAACAUUGUGUUAAAACAAAACAAAUAAACAAAUGCCAAAAAGAUAAAUUUAGCUCACUCGCUACUUCCUGAAGCAACUAAUCUUUAGUGCUCAAAAUCUUCAGAGUGUGUAGCUAAGCAAAACAAAAUUCUCUAUUCAGAUCAGACAGAAAUCUUUGCCUUGAUUUGUUCCACAACCAAGUUUAAACCAAUAUAAAUGAGGGCACUUUCUGCAAUGCCUAUACUCAUCUCUACUGUCUCCUUUACUACUCCCACACAACUACUUGCAGUGUUUCCUACACGGUAUUAUACAGUACCUAUCAGUCAAAUUAACAUUUUGUUUAAUGUGGAAAGUGCAAAAUACAUAGGAAGAAGCUUUUCUCCUGAAGUCUUAAAAUAGUGGGCUAAAUCCUGCACCCAGUGACCCUGCAUGAGCAAUAUUCAUAUGGUGCCCCCAAGAAUAACCUGGUUAUGUCUUUGAUCAAGACCAAAGAGGGAAUUAACUGGAAGAAUGGAAUAAGUCUUGAUAAGACUUGAGGAUCGGUUAAUUAUUCUUUAUGUAAUACCAUCUCUAAAGUUAUUAUAAGUUGCAGAUUUUUACCUCUAAGAUACAAAUUUUAAGAAAGGAAUCCCAGAAAGUGUUUAAAAUCUUCACAAAUUAAAGCAUCUAAUCCUGGAGCUUUUAAAUAUAUAAUGGCUUCUUUAAUCUAAUCAUUUUCAACAGCUAAUUCUAAAGCAGUAAUUAAAUAUUUAGACAAACUUCAGUCCUUAGCUAAAUGCAAGAACUGCUUACAAACAACUCAUCCUUAUAGCACUAUACUAAAGAUUUACAGAGUAUUACAACAGUAGUCUGAGAACUGUUUUUUGUUUGUUUGAUCAUUGUUUGUAUCACCAUACAACUUCAUUGGACUUCUGGAAAAGCUAGAUACUCGUUCCUGGCCAUACUUAAGCCUCCACAGUUCACUGAAAGCAUGGAUUAAUGACUUAUCUACGGACUCUAAACUAUCUUAAAGGGCGCCCACGUGGUUUGAGAAACUCCACAGUUUGGAAAGGCAAGAGUCAUUAAAAAUAACAUCCUCCAUAACAGCAAGAAAUCCUCUAAAAAGCUCGUAAGAACUGUGAUUUGCAGUAAGAGAUUCAGAAAUACACUUAUUCAAGAUGACAGAGGUGUUGCUGUGAACAAGAGCUUCUAGAACUGGAUGUUUUGAGAGAGCUACAGAAACGGCAUUAUUGAAAACCACUACAUGACUGAGGAACAUUACAUUGCAUAGUGACAUGUGGUAUGGAAUAACCCUUUGGCCAGCUUAGGUCAACUGUCCUGGUUCUGUCCUCUCCAUCUCCUUGUACCUCCUCAGCCUCCUUCAGUGUCAGGAAAGUACAAGAAGCUGAAGCAUUUUGGGCACAACAACCCCAAGCAACCCUACGGACUUGAGGAGGAAUAGCUGGAAAGCUGCCUGACAGAAAGGGACCUUGUUGCACUGAUGGAUAGCCAGCUGAAUAUGAGCCAGCAGUGUGCCCAGGUGGCCAAUGUAUCAGGAACAGUGUGGUGAGCAGGAUUAAGGAAGUAAUCCUGCCCCUGUACUUGGCACUGGUGAGGUCCCACCUCAAGUACUGUGUUCAGUUUUGGGCACCUCAGUACAGAAAGGACAUGGAAGUGCUAGAGCAGGUCCAAAGAAGGGCAAGAAAGCUUGUGAAGUUCUUGAAGAACGUGCCCUACAAGGAGUGACUGAAGGAACUGGGGCUGUUUGGUCUGGGGAAAAGGAGGCUGAGGGGAGACCUUAUUGCUCUUUUCAAAUCACCUGAAAGGUGAUGUCAUGGUUUAUGAUUUUUGUUAUCUGUAUUCCACAUCAUAACAUCAUGUAAAGCAUGUGGAAUUAGAGAGUCAAUACUCCAGUUCUGUGGGCUGACAACUUUCCAGAUACCUGGUUCUCAGAAGAGAGGCAGAACUACAUAUCACAGAGCACUUCACAUUCAGAGGGGAAGAUGAGACCCACAAGUCACAAGACUCUCUCUCCCUCACUCCCUGACAGUGUGUAUGUGUGCACUCCCCAGACAUUUCACCUUCAGUUCAGCAUAUGGCCUUUUGUUUUGGGCACACUCUCAUUUUAUUUGAUUUAUUAGCCUCCACUCCAAUCACAUUGUGUUAUACUCUAUUACCUUGUAUUCUGAUAUAUUUAGUAAAAUUAACUUUCCUCUUCAGAUCAUUGCCACUGUUCUGCUCUUGGGCCCUUCUCCCUACCUUUCCCCCUCUCCCUUUUUGGGCCCAUGGGCCUGCAGGCCUGCUGUUCCCCCUGUCAUAGACACAGAUUGAUCUAGAUAACUGUGACAGGUGAUUGCAGCAAGAGUGGUACUGGUCUCUUCUCACUGGUGACGGGUGACAAGAUGAGGGGAAAUGGCCUCAAGUUGCACCAGGAUAAGAUUAGGUUGGAUAUCAGGAAAAACUUAUUUACAAAAAGGGUGGUUAAGCACUGGAAUAGGCUCCCCAGGGAGGUGAUUGAGUUAGCCUCCCUAAGUGUGUUUAAAAACCAUUCAGAUGUGGUGCUCAGGGACAUAAUUUAGAGUUUGGGUAAUAUGAUCACAUUGCAAUUAAUUAAAAUUGCUCGCUAAUGCCUGUACUGAUGCGAUGUUUGCUUUUGUUACCUAGAGUUCUCAAGAAACAAUGGUAAUGUUGCCUUGCAUGCAAGCCUAGAACUGUUCUGAAAAGCUAGGACUGUCAAAAAAAAAAAAGAAAAAAGAAAAGCAGCUAGCCAGAGCAGGGCUGCAGUCAUUUGAGAAACCCUAUCUGUGUUUUGCACAUAGGAUGGAAAAGAAAUAGGCUUCAGGCUGAAAUUAGAGGGCAGGGUCCCACACUUCAAGGCACAAUAGGAAGUUAAAUGCACACAUGGUACAUGAUUUUCCAUUGACUUGCUCUCGAUUGCUUUCAACUCACCAGCUGGAUGAUUAGGAGUGUUCUCAGCAGGUGGUUAAUUUCUUUGCAUGCCAUCUAUGGGUGGAUUUUAUGUCUAUGCCCAGGGAGGGGGGUGGGGGGGGGGGGGGAGGAGGGGGUCUUUGUGUUCUUUAGGUACAACUGACACACUCUUGCUUUCACAACUGAUAGCAAUGCUUCAGAAGCAUAGUUCUGCCUGAGGUAAGAGGGGAUUUUUGAAGAACUAACCUGAGGAGGAUUGCAAAAUAAAUGCAGGGCAAUCAUUUUAAUUACAUAAGAUGCUGCACAUGUCUUUCAAAGACUUCUGGAUAACACAAGUGCUAUCAGUCUACUCCUUCCAGAGACUUAUCUUUAAAGUCCGGUGAUAGAAAGUGAGACAGAUACUGCAGUUUCUCUAAAGAUAGUGCUUCUAAAAAAAAAAAAAUCUUAGAGCUGCUAAUCUCUCAUGCUCUGCAUGCUGUGUGACCAGACAGGUGUUUUGUGAAGAACCCUUGGGGAAAGUCCACACUGAUAUAAAAAGGAAGAAGUUUUCAUUUCAUGAAUCACUAGAUUGGCAGUGAUCCAUUACAGCUUGUCACAGAUGUUAUGGAGCAAAACCAAGGUACUGCCCUGCAUUUUAUACCCCUGUGACUGGAAAAUUUGAACCCAGGGAUUUGCAAGUUGGGUGACUCUAGCUGUAAUCACCCACAGCAAUCUUAUUAACUAUUAAUAUCUUCAGCAUUUUGGACACUUUUUCUUAAAUGUCUUCGAAACUGGUUUUAGAUAUUAACCCUUUAAGAUUCUCCCAGUGUUAACUACUCUCUCCUGUCAGAGAAGUAUAAUGAUUUUGAGUAUCAUACAACAGCAUUAUUCAUGGAAUAAAUGCAGUAUCAAAUUGCUGUACUGAAGGAUUUGUGAGUUAAUCCCUGUACAGCGAUAAAGUAGCUCUCAGAUAUACACUGUAUACCAUAGAUACUAGAAAGCCUGGUAUUACUUUAUUAGUGAUAAUACUAGCCAGGGGACACAUUUGUGCCUCUCAUCAGGCUCAAGCCAGAAUUCCAUGAAUUUUCAGGAGAUACAAGUGGUGAAAACUGAGGUAGCUAAGAUGAUUGCAUUUCCUUACUCUUCCUGCCUCAGAAUAGUAAAGGACUAAAGGAAUGUCUUUAUGAAACAUAGAAAACAGCAUUCCUCCAGAAUGCAGAAUAUUAAUGUGGAUAAAGGAGGCUUUUUUCUAUCUUGGCAAUCAUUCUUCUUUCUUAGAGACUCCUCAGUGGAAGAAAUAUUUCCACAAGUUUUGAGGUAGCCAUAAUUGACUUUCUCUCACUAUUAUAUGUAUGGCUAUUGCAAGUUUUUACUGGGUAUUCUUUUAUUCCCUCCCAAAAUCUCUUCCUAAAGCUGUUGUGCCAGCCUCACAUUAGUAACUUGAAACACUUCCCUGAACUUUAAGGAUAAUGUUUUUGUAACCUAUUUGCAUAGCAUAAGGAUAGGUGGCAGCAGAUAUAGUUGCUUUAACCACUUCCGGAUCACCCAAGAAAAACAGUAGUCACAGUUCAGUAAAAAAGAAAAAAAAUCACUUACCCCUUUCCAAGAAUUAGAGCUUACUAAACACUCUAAAGAAGAUGAUCUCCAAGUAGAGAUACUUCCCUUGUGGCGACCAGACCUUAAAUAAGGUUAGGGAGUGGCAGACCCAGCGUUCACUCCUUUUGGCCACGCAUGUGAAUUGCUUCCACCUGUGCUCCCAGAGCUGGCUACGCCCCUUCACCAGGUGCUCAACCACUGCUUCAAGUCAUAACCUAACAUUUCCCAUACAUGAGAUAUUUGUACUAUGAGUUAAACAUAAAAUUAUCUUGUUUUAAAUGAAAUAAAUUCCUGAAUAAAUUGUAUAUAAAAAAUACUCCAUGUUGAACUUGGCCUUUAUUUACUUCAUUGUUGUAGGAUUUUCUUCAGACUGUUUCUAGCUGUCACUAGUGUCAUUCGUUGCACACUGUGUGAGCAGAAUAUAUUCUGUCAUUUCUGCAGAUAAGGUUUUUGACCUUGUGAAAUUCUGAAAUUUUAUUUCAUUACCUUGAAAGCUACGAUUUAGCAUAGUGAACAUCAGGCAAUCUGUAGUACUUAAUCUACUAGCUCAGCAGAACACCAAAUUAAUUCAAAUUUGAAAAAAACCUCUCCAUCUGUAGCAAAAGCAUUUUCUCAAUUACAUACUGAAUUAAAUAAGAGGUAGAAAUAUUUCUGAAAGCUUGAAAUUUAUAGUUUCAUUAGACUGAAAAACUAAACCUAAAAAUGUGUAAAAAUCUACAUUAAUCAUUUAGGUUUAGCACAU
ensembl:lncRNA